CUGCGUAUUGGCAAGACAUGUCUGAACUUUACUAUAGGAAUGGAAUUUCUGAAUGCAUUAAUUUUGAAUUUUAGUAUGGGAAUAUUCUGAAUUUUAGUAUGGAAAUGGAAUUUCUGAAUGCUUUGAUUUUGAAUUUUAGUAUGGAAAUGUUCUAAAUUUUAGUAUGGGAAUGAAAUUUCUGAAUGCAUUGAUUCUGAAUUUUACUAUGGGAAUGAAAUUUCUGAAUGCAUUGAUUCUAAAUUUUUGGGGCUUUUUGAUAGUUCUGAUUUUGGGGGGUUUUAUUUCAAUUUUUCUGAAUUUUUAUGGUUUUGAUUGUUGCUUCUUAAGGUUUUCUUUUUUAUUUUGCAUUUUGAUUAUGAUUUUGCGUCAUUUUUUAUAAGCAUACAUUCGACAAGAUUUCUUUCAUUGCUUAAUGCCUCUGAAUAUAAAAUAAUCAUUUCUAGGGUUUUUACUUCCUGUUUUGAGGCGACUCUAAUGGAGAAGGAGAAGAAAAACCUUCUUUGUGUUCUUUCUUCUUUAAUUUUCAGCUUUAACUGAAUUUUACGUUUUACUUGAGCUUUUCACUCCUUCUUUGUUGUUGCUUUUCAAUUUCGGUGGCAAUUUGUGGUUCUGUUGACUUUUUUAUUCAUGUGAUGAAUUUCAGUAGCAAUUUACAUAAUAUUGUUGAUAAUUUAGACUUGCAUAAAGGGUUUGAACUGUAAUUAUAAAUUCAACCCAAAAAUUCACUCUUAAUGGAUGUUUGGAUAACAAUUCCAACUGUGCUGAGUUUAACUACACUCUUAUAUUUGCAAUGAUUUUGAAGGUAGCAGGGUGGCAAGAAGUUGCUGUCCAUGGCCCAAUUCAAGACCGAACUCAAAUCCAAGCCCCAAUCCUUUGAGAAGAAGGCUUGAACCCUAGGGAGAUGCUUAUGUAAUAUGUGGUGGAGCUUGGGAAUUCUGGCCGCUAGAGCCUUAUGGCUUGCCUCAAUUUUGACUAUGAGUAUUUUUAUGGGGUGCUAAACCUUCUGAGGUAUUCUAAUGUUUUUGUUAUAGUAUCUUUCAAAAUACUGAUCAUGGUUAUUUACAUAAAAAAGAAAAUAUUAUUUUCAUUCUUUUGUUUUAGUGUUGAAGUUCAAAUUUGAGUUAAAUUAUUAUUGUUCUUUUUACAUGGUACAGAAGCUGUCUCAAUUUUCUCUUCCAACUCAUGAUGUUAUUGUCAGGGGUGUUAUUCUUGUAGAAUUCGAUGUAUGUGCAAGUUUUGCAUAAGACUUGUGUAACUGUGUUUUGAAUUGUAAGCUAAUUUUUUAGAAGAGUUUAUUAGUCAUGGCAUGGUGAUUAAUUGGCAUGUUCAUUGAUUUCAACUAGCCAUAGGUUUGUUGCUAGUUAUUUACAAAUAAAUUGUUUGGAUUUAGAAAAUCUAUUUUAUAAUUUGAAUGCUAAAUGGAUGGUUAAGUCUCAUUUUUUUCUUUUUUUUUUUAAAUUUAAAAAAGUAUUGUAAAAUCUCGAAUUAUAAUAUAUUAAAACUCUUAAAAAAUUUAUUUACUUGCAGAUAAAUACAAUUGCACAUGAGGGUCACCAUAUUACAUUGAAAAAAAUAACUUAUAUAGGAAGAUGCUAUUUCUGACCUUUCUCUGGUAUAUUUUCAUUUUUUAUUCAUCCUUUUAUUGCCUUUAUGUUUUAUGAUAAUUUGGUUGUUGAUGAAUGUUAUUAUCCUAUUCAGAUUGAGCAUGAUGAAAGUCAUGAUGUUCAUUUGGUCCUUAUAUUGUGUUAAUUUACACUAUAUCGUUGUUUUCUUUAGUAUUGAAUAUGGUUUUAUUCUUUUAUUGGUAUUUUAUAUGAUACGAAGAUAUUUAGCUUAAUUGGUUACUUGUUGUUUGGUCAUUGGUGAGUAUGGUUGGACUACAAACAUGGAGAGCAUUAUGAAGUAUCAGGCCUUGAGAGAUAAAGGCAUGACUGGCUACAUAUUUAGUAACAAUAAUAUGUAGAUAACCCUGACAUAUAUCGGCAUUAUGGAAGAAUUGACGAAGAGAAUGGAAGUUGAUGAAAUUAGGCAUUUAUUUUUUUAUUUUUUAUUUUUUUUGUUGAAGUUCAUGAGAAAACAUGUGUUUUUUUUUUUAGUUUAGUUAUGUGUAUUUUUAUUUGAAUUGGCAACUGUAAGUAUAUGUAUUUAAAAUUUAUUUAGUUGAAUUUGAAACAACUUUUUAAUUUAA